UAAUACGGAGGGGGCUAGCGUUGUUCGGAAUGACUGGGCGUAAAGCGCGCGUAGGCGGAUCAUCAAGUCGGGGGUGAAAUCCCGGGGCUCAACCCCGGAACGGCCUUCGAGACUGGUGGUCUUGAGUUCGAGAGAGGUGGGUGGAAUUCCGAGUGUAGAGGUGAAAUUCGUAGAUAUUCGGAGGAACACCAGUGGCGAAGGCGGCCCACUGGCUCGACACUGACGCUGAGGCGCGAAAGCGUGGGGAGCAAACAGG
rnacentral:rRNA from 1 species